rnacentral:ncRNA from 1 species
UCAGUGUUACGAAACCCAAAGGCAAAGUGAUGGCAAAGGUUCGACUUAUCCGGACUGAGGUGAUAUCCUGUUGUCUUGCUCAUACUUUUCAAGUUUCGAACGGCAGGCGUAUUGCUGACCCAUCUCAUGACAUAUUCAUGUGACAUCGUGUUGUGUGCAUCGUCGGAGUGGAGUAAGGGCGUAUACAUUGAGACCCGAAAGAUGGUGAACCAUGCUUGCAAAAACUGAAGCCAGAGGUAACUCUAGUGGAGGGCCGUAGUGAUUCUCACGCGCAAGUAAAUCGUAUAACGUGAGUAUAUUGGUGAAAGACUAAUCAAAACCUUUAGUGGUUGA